rnacentral:misc_RNA from 1 species
UAACCGCGUAUACACCGCCCUAGAGAAGAGGAUCCAGAAAGCCUGGGAUGAAUACAUGGAAGGAGCUUGGAUCACCAGUCACUUUCUGUGAGCGAUUUCAUCGUGUUACAGCCCGUCCGUCAACACCGAGUGAUUGAACUUGUGAUGACUGACUGAACAGUGUUGAACAGUGUGUUGAACAGUGACUCACAGUAUUAAAUUAUGUGUGUCAUGUGUUUCAUGUAGUGAUUAUAAUUGUUGUUUUUGUGUGCUAGUUAUAUCUGUAUUCUGUAGUGCUUGUUGUAUUUAUUAUUUAUGUAUUUAUUUUAUGUUUAUCUUGUAGUGCUUGACAUAUUAGAUAUUUGUAGUGCAUGUUUGAUAUUCAUUCAAACUAUUGAAUAAAUUAUAAAUCCAUAU